AGCACUUUAGCUGGAGUGCCUCUGCAUGUCCCCUCUUCUGUACUGGCCUGUGUCAUGGCCUGUGACUCUGUGGUUAUGUUGCAGCAGUGAUUUCCUAUCUGUUAAUCUGACUGCCUUUAUCCCUCUCACUGCUGAUGCUCAAACAGUGGUGUUUAGACUGUAAGGAGAACAAGACACAGACUGAAGUAUUGCUCUGAGCAAGGAAGACAACAUUGUCCCAGAGACAAGAGCCAGCCAGCAGAGCUGCACAUAGAAGCCUUAUCUGCCCAGCCGCCUGGUUCUGGCCCAGGAGGUUUAUCUUAAGAUAUUAAAAACAGCCCUUUGGAAUUUGUUUCCAUCCCUCUCCACUGCCUUCUGAGCUCUUGCUACUCAAAGUGUGGUCUGGGCCCCAGGAAUGGACAUCCUGGAUCACGUUAGAGAUGCAGAAUCUAAGGCUUCCUUUCAUGAUUGCCAAGGGCAGCCAAUGCGAGAAGGAAAGAAAUACGUUUACAGUGUUGAAAAAGUAAAUGUUUCAGUGGGAUAUGCAGUCCAAACUUGUCCAGCUGACGACGAGGCCAGUUAUGGCAUGUAUUUCCCUCUGUGCCAGCCCUGCUGUGACACGUGUGGUGGCGGGAGCACCCUCCCCCAUCCCCGUGCCCUUCCCCGCCUGCCCCUCCCCACCUUCACACAUCACAAUAACACUCCUCAGGUUCAAAGGUGGAGGAGGGUCCCUGCCUAGUAUUGCCAAGAGCACUACCCCCAGCCCAGACUCUGGGGUCACCCAAUUCCUAUUGUUCUCACACAGCGUCUCUAGUGCCAGGAGCUGAAUCCAAGUCCUUUCACUAUCCUGGAAUGAGGCCAGCAUUGUGUCCUUUCCCUUUUUAAUUCAACCUUCCAGAGUUCAUGGAAAAUCACCCUGGAGGAAAGGAGGGAAGGGGGCUCACGGGCUGGGAAACCAUGUUAGGCCACACUCUUAACGAUGGUGUUUGGUGGUUUCCCACUCUGCAUCUUUCUCUCCUUUCAAAUGCACUUCUGCUAAGAAAAUCAGAGGCCAUGGGUACAAGGAAUAAAUGAA